rnacentral:lncRNA from 1 species
CAAGAGAGAAGCAGAAGCCACCAUGGUUUUUUAUGCCGUUGUUGACCUAGCCCCCAAAGUGACAUAUUAUUACACAGAUAUGUAGCCAACCUGUGGGUCACUGAUACGGUUUGGAUGUGUGUCCCCUCCAAAUCUCAUGUUGAAAUGUGAUUCUCAGUGUUGGAAGUGGGGCUGGUGAUAGGUGUUUGGUUCAUGAGGGUAGAUCCCUUAUGAAUGGCUUGGUGCUGUCUUUGUGGCAAUAAGUGAGUUCUCACUAUCUGAGUUCACACAAGAGCUGGUUGUUUAAAAGAGCCUGUCAUCUCUUUUGCUCCCUUUCUCACCAUGUGAUAUGCUGCUCCCCUUCUCUUCUGCCAUGAAGAAAAGCUUCCUGAGGCCUUCACCAGAAGCAGAUGCUGGUGCCGUGCUUCUACAGCCUGCAGAACUGAAGGACUUUACAGCUUCUCUUUCGCAUAUCCAAAUUGCCAGCAUCACCGCUCUUGCACUCCAAGCCAUUAUUAAGUAAAGUAAAGAACACAAACACUGUGAUACUGCUACACUUGAUCUGAUAACCAAGAAGUCUACUAAGUGACUAACAGUUAAUAUUUUUGGACAUGAGGUGACUGCAGUUAACUAAAACCAUGGAAAGCAAACCCAUAGAUAAAGGGAUACUAUGAGAAGACAUGGAGAAGAGGAGGGAGUAGUUGUGACCGUGGAGGCAGAGAAUGGAGUAAUGUGAUCAUAAAUCAAGGAAUGCUGACAGCCACUAAAGCUGGAGAAGGCCAAGGACAGAUAUUCAAUCCUCCCGUAGAAGUACAGCCCUGCUAAUGCAUUGAUUUUGGACUUCUGGCCUCAGAACUAUUUAUAUAUCAGCUUUUUAUCAGUUGAAAUAAACCACCCUGGGC